rnacentral:tRNA from 1 species
GCCCAAGUAGCUCAGUGGUAGAGCACUUCCAUGGUAAGGAAGGGGUCCAGGGUUCAAUCCCCUGCUUGGGCUCCA